CCUACGGGUGGCAGCAGUGGGGAAUAUUGGGCAAUGGGCGCAAGCCUGACCCAGCAACGCCGCGUGAAGGAAGAAGGCUUUCGGGUUGUAAACUUCUUUUAUUGAGGAAGAAACAAAUGACGGUACUCAAUGAAUAAGCCACGGCGAACUACGUGCCAGCAGCCGCGGUACUACGGAGGUGGCAAGCGUUCUCCGGAUUUACUGGGUGUAAAGGGCGUGUAGGCGGGACUGCAAGUCAGAUGUGAAAACGAUGGGCUCAACCCAUGGCCUGCAUUUGAAACUGUAGUUCUUGAGUGAGGGAGAGGUAGGCGGAAUGCCGGGUGUAGCGGUGAAAUGCGUAGAGAUACAGAGGAACACCAGUGGCGAAGGCGGCCUGCUGGACCUUAACUGACGCUGAGGCGCGAAAGCGUGGGGAGCAAACAGGAUUAGAUACCCUUGUAGUC
rnacentral:rRNA from 1 species